rnacentral:rRNA from 1 species
AUUGAACGCUGGCGGAAUGCUUUACACAUGCAAGUCGAACGGCAGCACGGGGGCAACCCUGGUGGCGAGUGGCGAACGGGUGAGUAAUGCAUCGGAACGUACCCAAUCGUGGGGGAUAACGUGGCGAAAGUCACGCUAAUACCGCAUACGUCCUGAGGGAGAAAGCAGGGGAUCGCAAGACCUUGCGCGAUUGGAGCGGCCGAUGUCUGAUUAGCUAGUUGGUGGGGUAAAAGCCUACCAAGGCGACGAUCAGUAGCUGGUCUGAGAGGAUGAUCAGCCACACUGGGACUGAGACACGGCCCAGACUCCUACGGGAGGCAGCAGUGGGGAAUUUU